AUGGGGGCUAAAGUUCUUAUCCUGGUCACCGUGGCCGUGGCCAUGCUCAGGAUGGUACUCGGCGCCAGUCACACGGUGGGCGCGCCGGCCGGAUCAUGGGACCAACAGACCAACUACACCUUGUGGGCUUCGAGAACUAGGUUCAUCAUCGGCGAUGAGCUCCAGUUUCAGUACUCCACCACCUUCCAGUACUCUGCCGCCGUUCACAGCGUGGUGGAGGUGAGCAAGACGGGAUAUGACUCCUGCAAUGGCUCCAGCCCCAUAGCGACUUUCCCGACCGGUAAUGAUGUUGUUCCGCUUGCCAAUGUUGGGACCCGGUAUUUCAUCUGCGGCGUCUCUGGGCACUGCGACGCCGGCAUGAAGGUCGAGGUCAACGUCAAGUCGAAAGAAGUGCGGACAGUACAACGGUGCCGACGGAUAGGGAACCGGCGUUGGUGCCAGUCUGAGAAAGUAUUAAGCUCAGCUGCGGCGGCUAGCAUUGAACAAUCUACAGUGGCCCGGUUCGGUCUAAUAGUUGUUGCGGCUGGUCUUACGUUGUUAUUUUAG
rnacentral:rRNA from 1 species